GAUGAAGAACGUAGCGAAAUGCGAUACUUGGUGUGAAUUGCAGAAUCCCGUGAACCAUCGAGUCUUUGAACGCAAGUUGCGCCCGAAGCCAUUAGGCCGAGGGCACGCCUGCCUGGGUGUCACACACCGUUACCCUCGCGCCAACGUCCAUCGUUGGCCGCGGCGCGGGGCGUGCGCUGACCUCCCGCGAGCGGGGUCUCGUGGUUGGUUGAAAAUCGAGUUCGCGGUCGAGGGUGCCGUGAUGAAAUGGUGGAUGGGCGACGCCCGAGGCCAAUCAUGCGCGACUCCGUCCGGCUCGGACUCCUGGACCCCUUCGGCGUCUCCGGACGCUCUUUGGCGAGACCUCAGGUCAGGCGGGGCUACCCGCUGAGUUUAAGCAUAUCAAUAAGCGGAGGA
rnacentral:misc_RNA from 1 species